rnacentral:rRNA from 1 species
UACGUAGGGAGCGAGCGUUGUCCGGAAUUACUGGGCGUAAAGGGCGCGUAGGCGGCGCUUCAAGUCGUCUGUCAAAUGGGAGGGCUUAACCCUUUUUCGCAGACGAAACUGGAGAGCUUGAGAAGCAGAGAGGCAAAAAGAAUUCCUGUGGUAGCGGUGAAAUGCGUAGAUAUCAGGAAGAAUACCAGUGGCGAAGGCGGUUUGCUGGCUGCAUACUGACGCUGAAGCGCGAAAGCCAGGGGAGCGAACGGGAUUAGAUACCCCGGUAGUCCUGGCAGUAAACGAUGUAUGCUGGGUGUGAGACUAGCGAUAGUUUCGUGCCGAAGUUAACGCGAUAAGCAUACCGCCUGGGGAGUACGGUCGCAAGAUUGAAACUCAAAUGAAUUGACGGGG